UUGAUCCUGGCUCAGAACGAACGCUGGCAGCGUGGAUUAGGCAUGCAAGUCGAACGGGAAGCCGUUGAUCAAUUCUUCGGAAGAGUGAUUCGGUGGAGAGUGGCGAAAGGGUGAGGAACACGUGGGUAAUCUACCGCUUAGUUUGGGAUAACUUCGCGAAAGCGAGGCUAAUACCGGAUGUGGUACUCCGGCGCAUGUCGGGGAUAUUAAAGACGGGGAUCCUUCGGGACCCGUUGCUUGGGGAGGAGCCCGCGUGCCAUCAGCUUGUUGGUGAGGUAACGGCUCACCAAGGCUUACGGCUAGCUGGUCUGAGAGGAUGAUCAGCCACACUGGGACUGAGACACUGCCCAGACUCCUACGGGAGGCUGCAGUCGAGGAUCAUUCGCAAUGCGCGAAAGCGUGACGAUGCGACGCUGCGUGGAGGAUGAAGGCCUUAGGGUCGUAAACUCCUGUCAUUCGGGAAAAAUGGCCCCGGGGUUAAUACCCUCAGGGUUUGAUGGUACCGAAAGAGGAAGCCACGGCUAACUCUGUGCCAGCAGCCGCGGUAAUACAGAGGUGGCGAGCGUUGUUCGGAUUUACUGGGCGUAAAGGGUGCGUAGGUGGUCUUGUGUGUCGGGUGUGAAAUCCCACGGCUCAACCGUGGAAUGGCAUUCGAAACUGCAAGACUUGAGUGCAGGAGGGGAGAGCGGAAUUCUUGGUGUAGCGGUGAAAUGCGUUGAUAUCAAGAAGAACACCGGCGGCGAAGGCGGCUUACUGGAAUACUACUGACACUGAGGCACGAAAGCUAGGGGAGCGAAGAGGAUUAGAUACCCUGGUAGUCCUAGCCGUAAACGGUGCACACUUGGUGUGGAGGGAAUUGACCCCCUCCGUGCCGGAGCUAACGCGUUAAGUGUGCCGCCUGGGGAGUACGGCCGCAAGGCUAAAACUCAAAGAAAUUGACGGGGGCCCGCACAAGCGGAGGAGCAUGUGGCUUAAUUCGAUGCAACGCGAAGAACCUUACCAGGGCUUGACAUAUACCUGCACGCCCCGUGAAAGCGGGGAAGCCUUCGAGGGUGGUAUACAGGUGCUGCAUGGCUGUCGUCAGUUCGUGCCGUGAGGUGUUGGGUUAAGUCCCGCAACGAACGCAACCCUUGUGUUUAGUUGCCACUCCCAGUGUUAAGCUGGGAAGCACUCUAGACAGACUGCCCGUGCAAGCGGGAGGAAGGUGGGGAUGACGUCAAGUCAGUAUGGCCCUUACGCCCUGGGCUGCACACGUGCUACAAUGGCGAGGUACAAUGGGAUGCAAUGCCGUAAGGUGGAGCAAAUCCUCAAAACUUGCCCUAGUUCGGAUUGGAGUCUGCAACUCGACUCCAUGAAGUUGGAUUCGCUAGUAAUGGCGUAUCAGCUACGACGCCGUGAUACGUUCCCGGGCCUUGUACACACCGCCCGUCACAUCAUGAAAGCCGUCUGCACCCGAAGUCGCUGAGCCAAUCCUUUACGGGAAGGCAGGUGCCGAAGGUGUGGGUGUAAUUGGGAUGAAGUC
rnacentral:rRNA from 1 species